CCAGCAUUGGAUGGUUGGUCUGGGAGAAGAAAACUUCAUAGAAGUAAGAGGGUACAUUUCCCAGAAGAGGAACCACCUCUGCACAAGUAGAAAAGGUUGGAGUGCAAUGGCGUGAUCUCGGCUCACCGCAACUCCUGCCUCCUGGGUUCAGUCCAUUCUCCUGCACCACCAUGCCCAGUCCUGUUUCCAUAAGAGAUAGAGAAGGAAAAAGGCAUCUUUCAACAGAAGCAAGAAUAUGAGUAUAGACUUCAAGCAAGAAUGACUCUUUUGAGAGUAAAGAGUAAGAUGCUGUUGCCCUUCUACCUAGUUCUUUCCAUGGCUCUCAUCUUACUCAGAAUAAAGUAAAAA